CAUUUCUAACAGAUCUACGUGACUCGACAAAGCUGUAUAUCUCUUGGAGGGGAGCAACUGGCCCAACAAACUGCUGUUUGUAACCACAAACAAGAAUGGAUGGGCUGCGUUCUCCCUAAACACUGCUAAUCUUAAGGCUGAUCUGAAUCUCGUGAUAAGACUUGUAUUUUGUAAAAAUUGAGACUUGCUCUAGCAUGAAACUGAUUAAGUUUGUUCUGUGAUGUUCCAGUUGUCUGUUAGUGUUGAUCUGGUUCCAGCAGUGCAGAUUCUGGUCUACAGUGGUCUUCCAAGUGAGAAUGUAGUUGCUGCUAGUGUGCUGUUUGACACUGAUUUGUUUUUCCAAUUUUUCAGGUUUCUCUGCAGUUUGCCAUGGGUGUUCCUGUGGAGGUAAAUGUUCUGAUGGUUUCUGCUCAAGCAGGAUCUCUGUAGCUUCAGUGCUGUAGUUCAGAGUGUCUGGAUCAUGGAGCCAGGAAGAUGUGUGAGAGCUGAAAAGGUGUCUCUGCAGUUUGCCAUGGCUGUUCCUGUGGAGGGAUGGGUUCUGUUCAAGCAGGAUCUCUGUAGCCUCAGUGCUGUAGUUCAGAGUGUUUGGAUCAUGGAGCCAGGAAGAUGUGUGAGAGCUGAAAAGGUCU